rnacentral:rRNA from 1 species
CCUACGGGGGUCAGCAGUGGGGAAUAUUGGACAAUGGGCGAAAGCCUGAUCCAGCCAUGCCGCGUGUGUGAAGAAGGCCUUCGGGUUGUAAAGCACUUUCAGUGGGGAAGAAAGCCUUGGGGCUAAUACCCUCGAGGAAGGACAUCACCCACAGAAGAAGCACCGGCUAACUCCGUGCUAGCAGCCGCGGUAAUACGGAGGGUGCGAGCGUUAAUCGGAAUUACUGGGCGUAAAGCGCGCGUAGGCGGUCUGAUAAGCCGGUUGUGAAAGCCCCGGGCUCAACCUGGGAACGGCAUCCGGAACUGUCAGGCUAGAGUGCAGGAGAGGAAGGUAGAAUUCCCGGUGUAGCGGUGAAAUGCGUAGAGAUCGGGAGGAAUACCAGUGGCGAAGGCGGCCUUCUGGACUGACACUGACGCUGAGGUGCGAAAGCGUGGGUAGCAAACAGGAUUAGAUACCCGAGUAGUC